UUCAUGCGCCAAUUGUACUCGUUGCUUUACUUAUAGUUGUGAUUGUCGUCGGUUUCUUUCAAUGUUUCAGUUGCUUAUACAAUCUCCACAAAUAUGACUUAAGGUUUUUACUUUAUCUACUGUGCAGAAAAAAGGAUCGAGUAAAGAUAUCGAUAUUUUUUUUGUCAGUGUAUAAUGUAUAUCUUUGUAGACUUGCUAAUUGUCUGUUCUGUAACAACCGUGCAUCGUCCCAAGAUGCAGUACCUACCAUUUGCUUUAUAGUUUUAGAAGUUCUCUGCAUUUGUCCAACCUUUCAAAUGUUAUUGACGUUAUUUUUUUUGGUUUGUUACCUUUCAGUUAUGUGAAAUCAUUCUUGCGUUUGACUUAAAUUUACAGGAAUCGUUGGCCGUAUAUCCCCGAAAACAUGGGGUGCCAUAAUCUUUCUGGCAUCAAUUGCAACUGAAGAAUAUGAAUCAAUGGCUUCUGCACUGAUUGAAAUGGGUUCUACAGACACAAACGUUGAUGUUAAGGCCUUUGCAAGUGACUUGGAAAAGAUGUUCUCGUCAAUAAAGGCAAGCAUUAAACUCAGGAGUUUGGUAAUUGUGUUUUGCUUUCCAAAUAGGGUUAUUUUUUGGUCUGUACUUCUCCUGGGACAAUUUCGGAGCUGAGGGGAAAUAAUGUUUCACAGAACGGUGCAGCCAAAAGAUAACUUUUUUUUUCUUGCCCGUAAAUAUUGUGUUGAGAAUAUUGCGUUUAAGAAUGGGAAAAACAAGAACAAAACUUUGGAAAUCGAAAAACAAAUAACCAAGAUAAAUAACACCAAGAAUUUACGUGGUUCGGCAAUAUGUGCCUACGUCCACGGGACAGCAACAACAAUCUUUCACUAUAUCAAUAAUGAGUACAACCAAUAAUCUUGCCAAAUCUCUAGAACUAGGACUUGACGAAAAACCUAAAAGAACAAGAACAAGAAAUACACUAUCUCUUUUCUUUUCUCUCGCACACACAAUAUUCUCUCACUCUAAUCCCUUGAGUGGUAUACAACUUAUUGUUUUGCUCCCUUUUCAAAACUAGUACAAUAGCCCCUUAAUAUAGACAUAAUAAAGGUCUUCUUCAAUAAGGAUUAUUAAUCCUAAUUGGAAUCUAGUUAUGAAUCCUACUCCAAUUGAGAAACUAAAUCCAAUUGGGUAAACAACUCCAAUUAGGAAAACAACUCCAAUUGGGAAAACAAUUUAAUCCUCUAAGACUAUUAAUUCCCAAUAGACUUAGGACAAUUUAUCAUGGGCUGGAAAAAACCCAACAAUCUCCCUCCAGACCAUGAGGAAGGUAUACCAAAAUAGGAUUGCUCCUCUUGACCAAACUCCUAUUGAUCGAACUACUCAUUAACCAAGACCCUCUUGAUUAGACUUCUCUUGACUAGGCUCCCCCUGAUCGCAACACCCAUCGUCAUUGGCAAAGGCAAUUAUAGACUUCUUUGCCAGAAAACCAUCAAUCAUCUGCAUUAAAGAAGCUCUUCAUCGUAAGUCACAACACUUGCAGUAUUGUUCCCAUCCUUUUGUUCCUUUUUCCAUUUACGACAACGCUUCUUCAUGUGACCCUUUUUCCCACAAUAGUGGCAGUCACCAUUGAAUCUCGUCUCACCAGAAUUUUUGCCUCUUUUCUCUGUGACAAAGAGUUGUCCAGCGCCUGCACCUGAAGCUUUUCUCCUUGUUUCUUCAUUAAACAUGCUAUCCUUAACGGCAUCCAUAGAUAGUACACCAUUAGAAGCCGAAUUGCUUACAGUUACAACGAAGGUUUCCUAACUAUCUAGCAAGGAUCCUAGCAAUAAAAGUGCUAGCAGCUCUUCUUCAAUAUUCAAACCCAUAGUGGCUACCUGAUUGAUCACGUUCUGAAAGUUGUUCAAGUGCUCGGUUACACUAACAUCUUCCGCAUACUUCAUGUUGACAAGCUCUUUGAUAAGGAAUGCUUUCUUGGCAGCGGUCUUCUUCUCAAAGAGGGAUUCUAACUUCUUCCAAAGAGCUUGCGCAUCAGUUUCUUUAGACACAUGGUGAUAGAUGCUCUCGUCCACCCAUUGUCUAAUCGUACCAAUAGUUUUACAAUUCAUCUUGGUCCAAUUGGCAUCAGACAUAUUUUCUGGCCUGCUCUUAACACCUUCAAUUGGCUCAUGGAGAUCUUUACAAUAAAGCAUGUCCUCCAUUCUUGAUUUCCACGUAACCCAGUUGGAGCGGGUGAGUUUCAUCAUAAUUGCACCCUCCAUUCUAAACGGAUAUUAGUCGAACCUGGCUUUGAUACCUAAAAAUGCAGUACCUACCAUUUGCUUGAUAGUUUUAGAAGUUCUCUGCAUUUGUC
rnacentral:lncRNA from 1 species